GCCACGAAAUCUGGGUCGUUCAUUUUGGGAUCCAACCGUUGCCAUAGCAUAACCGUCACUGCUAACUUCCGUCUACAAGAAACCUACACCGUCACAGUCAAUGGAUGACUUCCGGAAAUUGCGUUCUUUUAACAUGGCGGGUGAGUUCUUCCCCUCCCUUCCUCAUCUACAGAACCGCCGAUGUUCUUUCAGCAUCCUUGGUGAGGAAGGAGGUGGAUCUGACCAGGCUAGAGCGAUGGCCGGAGUCGCCAGCGAUGAAGAUGCGAAGGGAAUCUAUGGUUGUGGUGUUUCCCGUAAUUUGGCUAGGAGUGCUUCAUUUUAGUCCAAUUCCCCCUUGGGCAGAAAAAUAUCAGCUUUUGGAUGCUUCCACAUCACAAUUUUCAAAGUUUGUCACUAAUUAUUACAAUUCUCUAUUAACAUAAAUAUUAUUUGAAUAUUCUAUGUUCUACAUUACACCGCCGUUGAGGGUACAGGACGCAAUGGAGAACGAUAACCUACUCCGAAGCAUGGACAUGCGCAGUAGCAAUGCGACUGCCGGAAACCCUAUGUAUUGCUCUGGGAUCCUUUUUGUUCCUCAAUUUGCUCCAUAAUCCUUUCUGCGUCCAUCCAGAAGUCAGCAUCAUCAUCAUCAUCCUGCAAAUACGUGGAAAGUAUGCCAUAACAGCUGGGCAGAAUGAGCACAGCAAAAUCAACAACCGAGAACCAAUAGGACUACUAACCAAGGUACAGAGGUCAGAAGUGUGCUCGAUAUUCUCGAUGCUAUCGGCAAAUUUUACAGCUUCUUCCCACCAUCCGGGAUCCUCCUCAUGACUCUCCAUGACAGAUUUACCAUCAGACAGAUAACACCUGUUCCUGCUGCUGUCGUCUAAAUUGAUUUCUAGAACUUUGCCCUGAUAUUCUGUCUUGGCUGACUCCACUACAGAGCUAAGUUCAGGCAUCACAUCCCAGGGUACAGGACGCAAUGGAGAACGAUAACCUACUCCGAAGCAUUGAUGUUAUGAAAAAAAAAAACAGAUAAUCUGUGAACUGAGAAUCAAUACACGGAUGCUCCUCGCUUACCUUGACAAUCAGGGUCGUAACACUUUUGGUAGUACGCUGCUCUUUGGAUAUCAACAAUGUACAUCACUGGUGCAUUUGACAUAACUGGUGAUUAGCUAACGUGAGCAAGAAAUAGCACAGUAGUUGAAACAGUUGAUGUUGCAGGGAAAAAUUGUUAUUGCUUCUUUUUAAUAUUGUUACCAUGAUUGCUCUUAUGCUCUCUUCCAAUAUGCUCACAGUACCUGCUCCUUGACAUGCUAUAGAUCAUCAAACCAUACUGUGAAAACCAGUACCAGGAUCGAAUCUUUCCUGCAGUGAAAUGAACGCAUCAAUGUUUCAGGUAACAAUAUAUAUCCAAUUAUUCCAUUAUUGAAAAGUAGCACAUCAUAGGAUGAAGGAUUUAUUUGCCUUCAACAUUACAUUAUCCAAAUACAGUAGAAACAUGCCAAUACAAUAUACUAUUUGAUCAACAUUUUUCAUUCCUCAGAAGAUUUUUUAGGAGCCCUAGGUACAGACAAUGACGAAGUUGAGAACAAGCCAGCUCUAGUCAAGUCUGUAUUUGGAGACACAAAGGUAUCCAAAUCCAACUCUGAUCCAGUUUUGGCAAAAAGGAAUAAGGAAAUAAAGCAAAGAUAUUGGACAAGAUGUCACCUGGACAUGGAUACAUCUGAAUCUGAUGGAAUGCAACUUGGAUUCAGGUAUCUGACUCCACAAAAUUUUGGAGGUAUUCAAGUAACUGCAAUUAAUUACAAGAAUGCACAGCAGUGUCCCGGCCAGAUUUGCAUUUAAAAGUGGUAUGCAUUAGUUAUAUUCGAGGAAUUCUAAUAUUUGAAAACAAACCUGAGAGCUUACCAUUCCUAGCCUUCAGAACAGAAAGAAGCUAUAUCACAGCUAAUGUACUGCUAUAAUGUAAAACUAAGUUCUAUAACAUGAUUAUGCACAUGAACAUCCAUUACAAAAUUCGAAAAGGUCUAAGGCAACAAACAUGGCAAAACAUCUUCUGGAGUAUAAAUAAACACACAUUAGAAAUAUACGACUAUCAGAGCAAAUAAAAAGAUAAAUACGAGACCCGCAAAAAAAA